AGUUGAGUAAAUAUUUGUUGGGGCAGGUGCAGAAUGAGACCACCAGCCAGCCCCAUCCUAGGGUCCUGGGCUUGGGACUAUGUACACAACCUACAACUACCAGUCCUUCUAGGCUUAGAGCUCCAAAUGGGGACUCACCAUGAAGGGGUUGAGGAGCCCAGUGGAGACAACAGAGGCCCCAAGUGUGGAGGAAGACAUUUCUGCUAAGCUUGUUCAAUCUCUGUGGAAACAUAAGAGCACAGAAGUCCAGUUCUCACCAGGACACACAUUUGGACAGACCAGGCUCCUCAGGUCUCCACAAUGCCCAUCCCUCCUCCUUGCCUGCUGCUGAUUCUAAUGCUGGGACUCACAGGUGAGCAUUCCUUGGGGUAGAUCCCCUCUCCCUGCCCCCUGCAUCUCCCCCUACCCCUGCACUUCUAGAGUUUCCAUGUAAACUUGGGUGUGCCCUUCAGGGCAGUCAGAACAGGUCAAGGACUGGGCAUUAUCCAGAGCAUGAAAUCAUGGAUCUGAGCAUUUCCUUUUCUGGAUCCAUUUUCUGCAACUGGUUACAAGACUCAUCAAAACAGAUGAUACUUCAAAACUGACAAUAAUAAGAUUAUGUGCCUUAAUUAUCCCAGGGUGAUAAUUGACUAUUACUCCUAAACUGAAAAUGGGGAAACUGAGGCAAAGAGAAUAACUUGCCCAAUGUCACUUACCUAAGGCAGUGGAGAACAGGAUUUGAGUCCAGGCUGUUCAUCUUCAGAGUUGAUUCUUUUAAGCACAUUAUGCAGCUCAGCUUCUCAGAGGAGGCUAAUGGCAGAAAAGAACAGGAAAAGCAAAUAGUAUAUUCGUCAUCACCCAUCCUGCCACUCAAAGCUCACCAGAGCUUAAAUCUUGCUACGUGUACUUCCAAACUUUUGUUAGCGAUGUGUUGGUUGUUUCCUAUGUGCUAAAUUGUUUACUACUUUAUUUUUUAAUUUUUUAUAGCAGAUCUUUUUUAAAAUUUAUUUUAUUUUUUAAAUCAUUUCCCCAAUUUUUUUCCUACUGUACAGCAUGGUGGCCCAGUUACACAUACAUGUACACAUAGCAUUUUCUCACAUUAUCAUGUUCUGUCAUAAGUGACUAGACAUAGUUCCCAGUGCUAAAUUUUUUUUAACUUUUAUUUAUUUUUUUCCUCUUUUUAGGGCUGCACCUGCAGCACAGGGAGGUUCCCAGGCUUGGUGUCGAAUUGGAGCUGUAGCUGCUGGCCUAUGCCACAGCCACAGCACUGCCAGAUCUGAGGUGUGUCUGUGACCUACACCACAGCUCAUGGCAAUGCCGGAUCCCCAACCCACUGAGCAAGGCCAGGGAUUGAACCUGCAUCCUCAUGGAUGCCAGUCAGAUUCGUUUUUACUGAGCCAUGAUGGGAACUCCAAAAUUGUUUACUACUUUUAAUGUGUGUUGUAAUUUCAUUUAAUCUUCAAAACAACCUGUAGGCUAGCACGCUAAGCUACACUUUAAUUCAUGGUUGUGGAUGCCUACAUUUGUGUGUGUGUGUGUGUGUGUGUGUGUGUGUGUGUGUGUGUGUGCCUGUGUGUCUGUGUGUGUGUGUGUGUCUGUGUCUGUGUUUAUGAAUGGGUGUGAGGAAAUGUUCCCAGACACAUGGGAUUUCAAAAAGACUUCCUUAUUGUUGCUCUCAAAUCAUUUUUAGUUACAUUAAAAAACAUGAACAGAUAUUUAGUAUUUGUUGUCUUUUAGCAACAUCUCUCCUUGUUUGCUUCUCUAUAAAUCUACCUCUUUCUCUUCCCCAAGCUGUUAAGACAAGGAAACUUCUCUUUUGGUAAAUGAAUAGAAUUUUGUGCAUUGCUAUCUCAGCAUCCCCUCUUCCUUGCUCAGUAGGGGUGAGGAAGAAAGAAGGGGAUUCUUGCCUAUAUUACUUAUAUCUAUAUUAUAUUCAUAUUUUCUAUAUCUGUGAUUAUAUCCAUAUCUAUAUAUCUGUCUUUAUCUCAUGCUAGUUGAAUACUCCAGGUCUUAGGAGAUCAAGUGAGUAAUAACUUUUCAUUUUCUUGAACACUCACCAUGUGCCUGACACUGCUGGAAGUGCCUUUUGGUUGUUAACUCAUGUGAUCCUUAUAUCUAAGCUAGAUGCUCUUGUCACCCCUGCCUUACAGAUAAGAAAACUGAGCAAGGAGAGGUUCAAGGUCAUUCAGUGGUAAAUGGGAGAGGUAUGAUUUGAACCCAAGCAACUAGAGCUCAUAGAUUUAACCAUUGUUCUCAAUACUGUGCCCCUGCUUCCAAUUCAUGAGGUUUCUGCAGCUUCUGCCAAUACAUGUGGAGAAGGGUGAGAGUGUGGAGAAGAGGGUUUGUGGUUUUCUUCUGCUGGGCUCUUCUGCUUCCUUCAUACAGGCAAAUCGCUUUUGUUUUUUACCAAAUAAUCUAUAUGGGAAACUCAGUUUCUGACGUAAUUUCCACAGAGAUUACCCACUUAAAAUUCAGCACCUCAGAGAGAUAAUCACACUUGACAAUUCAUACAUCAUACAUAUAUUUUUGGAUACCUACUAUGUGCCAGGAAAUGUUACAGGAACUUGGGAUGCAGUGGUGUGUUAAAGAGACAAAGCAGGUGCCUUCAUGAUUAUUCUUAGUAGAGAAAAUAACAAUAAACAAUAGUUAAGUAAAUGGUAUAACCAGUUAGAAAGCGAUAGGUGUUUUUCAAAAAGAGUAGCGGAUAAUAUCAUUGGGAGAAUCUGUAGGGCAGGAUAUGUUUUAAACAUGACAGUCCUGGGUGGGCAUCCUUGAGAAGGGGACAUGUGAGCAAAGACUGAAAGAAGGUGCUGGAGUGAGCCAUGUGGUCACCUGGGGGAAGAGCCUUUCUUAUAGGGAUCAGCAUGUGCAAAGGCCCCAAGAAGAUAAUCUUCCUCCUGAGAUCAAGGAUUUGGACUUUUGCUCUGAGUGAAAUGGUUGCCAUAACAAGGUUUUGAAGGGAGAACUGACGAGAUCUGACAUGAGUUUUCAUUUAUUCUAACAUUUGGUUGAGAGUUGAGUACCACAGGAUGUAGACAGACGCAACUAGAGCAUUUGAAGUCAUUACAUUCAUGCAAAAUGCAAUACAAUAAAAUUAAACUGGCUGCACCUGGACAGUAGUAGAUAUGGAAGAAAGAGUUCAGAUUUUGGCUGCACGCUGAAGAAGAGGCAACAGGAUUUCCUCAUGCAUAGGAUCUGGGCUGGGAGAGAAAGAAUUCAAUAUUCUGAGACAUGAACUUCUGGAAGAAAAACUUAGCUGAACUGAAAUCACAUCUUGCAAUGUUGAACCACAAGAUUUUCUCCUUACAGUGCAGGGAAGCAAUAAAAAAGAAACAGGAUGGUUUGUGGUGCAACAACAGCUCUGAUUUAUAGCCCUGCUAUCAGACCAUACCUGUUUAAUAGAACAUUUCAGCUAAGAAAAGCAACAGAUUUUCAUGUGUUGAUUUUAUAUCUCAAAAUUUGCUGAAUUUUUAAAUUAGCUCUGACAGUUUUGAAUGUUGGAAUCUUUAGAAUUAGGACAUAAAACAUCAUGUCAUGUACAAACAGAGAUAAUUUUCCUUCUUUCUUUCCAAUUUGAAUAUCUGUUGUAUAUUUUUCCUGCCAAAUGGCUUUUCUUGGAACUUCCAGUAUUGUGUAAGCUAGAAGUGGCACAGUGAGCAUCCUCCUUUCUCUUCCUAACCUUAGGUGAAACACUUUCAGAAUUUCAUCAUCAACUAUGCUAUCAGCUGUGGCUUCUUCAUAUGUGACUUCAGCUAUUGGGAUAUGUCCAUCUAUUCCUACUUUAUUGAUUGUUUUUAAUCAUGAAAAUGUGUUCACCUUUGUCAAAUGCUUGUUCUGCAUCAAACAAAAUGAUCUUUUAUUUCUCCUCUUCCUUCAGUUACUGAAGUGGUAAAAUACAUUGUUUGAUUUUCACAAAUCCCAACUGGUCCUGGUGCAUAAUUCUUUUAAUGUGCCAUUGAAUUGGGUGCUAAAUUUUGUUAAGAAUUGCUGCAAUAAUAGUCCAAGAGAUGUUUGUCUGUAUUUUUCUCGUUAUGCCUUUGGUUGGUAUCAGGAUAAUGCCUGAGAAUGAAUUUCAAUAGGAUUCAAUAGGAUUCAGAAAUUUUUUGGGAAGAAUUUGAAGAGGAAUGUUAGUUUUCUUUAAAAGUGUGAAAGCAUUCCCCAGGGAAGACAAGUGGUCUGGAGCCUUUCUAUGUCGGGAGGCUUUUGAUUAUUGACUGAAUCUUCUUACUAGUUAUUGGCCUACUCUCAUUUUCUGUUUCUUCCUGAUUCAACACCUUGGUUUUCUGCUUUUUUGGGAAUGUGUCCAUUUUCUCUAGGUUAUCCAAUUGUUUGGUGUUCAUUUGUUCACAGUACUCUUUUAUACUCCCUUUCAUUUCUGUAAAAUUAUUCGUAUAUGUUCUUUUAUUUCCAAUUUUAGUUCUUUGAGUGUUCUCUCUCUCUUUGUUUUCCCCUUAGUCAAUCUAGCCAAAGUUUUGUCAACUGUGUUGUUAUUUUUGAAGGACCACUCUUGGUUUUGUUGAUUUUCUCUGUUGUUUUUCUAUUCACAUUUUAGUUUUCUCUCCACUAAUCUUGACUAUUUCCUUUCUUCUGCUAACUUUAGGUUUGGGGUUUAUUUGACGCUUCUUUUUCUAGUUUCUUCGAAUAUACUGUAAACUUACUGAUUUAUGAUCUUUUUUAACUGUCUGCAUUUUCAGUUAUUAAUUUCCUUUAUUAAUUUUCUUUUAGAGCUGCUUUCUGUGCACUUCACACGUUUUGAUAUUAUGUGUUUAUGAUUUUUAUUUUUUUGUCUUUUUAGGGCUGCACUCACAGCAUAUGAAAAUUCCCAGGCUAGAGGUUGAAUCAGGCUAGAGGUCAAAUCAGAGCUACAGCUGCUGGCUUAUGCCACAGCCACAGCAACGAGGGAUCUGAGCCGUGCCUAAAACCUAUACCACAGCUCAGAGCAACACUAGAUUCUUGACCCACUGAGUGAGCCCAGAGGUCGAACCUGAGUCCUCAUGGAUGCUAAUUGGGUUCAUUUCUGCUGCACCACAAUGGGAACUCCGGUGUGCUUAUGCUUUUAUUUGUCCCCAAGCAUUCUCCAGUUUCCCUUGAGAUUUCUUCUGUGACCUACUGAUUUUUUUUACGAGGAUGUUGUUUGAUUUCUCUGUAUCCAGGACCAUUUUUUUUUUCUGUUAGUGAUUAAGUUUAAUUUUACAAAGUGUUUGACCAGUAGGCUGCACAAAGAGCCCUUCUCUCAGAUUCCAGUAAACUGUUUUGUCAUUCAUCCUGGGUGCCAAUGACACAUGCGUAUACUACUGUUAUGGCAACUGGCUUCUGUAACUAUCAGAACAGAUGUGUGUGGUAGACAGAAAAGAGCCCCCCUCCUCAAGAGAUUUAUGUCUUAAUACUCACCUGUAUUACUUUACACGUUUACUUUACACGGCAAAAGAGAUUUUUCAGAAAUGAUUAAGAUUCUUGCUAUUUGGAGAAUACCCUAGGUUAUCAAGAUGGCCCAAUAGCAGUGAUGAUGGGGAUAAAAUAAGAUAAUUAGUUAGUUUAAACAUCCCACUAGGGGAUUAAAAACAGAAAGGGAAUUUUUAGGGAGUUUGGGAGAGUGUCAUAAGCUAAUGACCACCCAGGAAAAGACUGCAGUAACCAAGCAAACAUCUACACUACCUUGAAGGAAGACCAAGAACCUCUAGGCUUCAGACACACUGGAGCCGCAAACCAGAUAGAAUAUAGGACAAUCGAUGUGGCAUCUGAAUCUUUUUACAUGAAGUCAAGGAGUUAAUGGUCCUGGAAGACCAGCAUUUCUGCAUAUAUUCAAGAUAAAAAUAUAG
rnacentral:lncRNA from 1 species